rnacentral:rRNA from 1 species
GUGGGGAAUCUUGCGCAAUGGGCGAAAGCCUGACGCAGCCAUGCCGCGUGAAUGAUGAAGGUCUUAGGAUUGUAAAAUUCUUUCACCGGGGACGAUAAUGACGGUACCCGGAGAAGAAGCUCCGGCUAACUUCGUGCCAGCAGCCGCGGUAAUAUGAAGGGGGCUAGCGUUGCUCGGAAUUACUGGGCGUAAAGGGCGCGUAGGCGGACAGCUUAGUCAGAGGUGAAAGCCCAGGGCUCAACCGUGGAAUUGCCUUUGAUACUGGCUGUCUUGAGUGUGGGAGAGGUGAGUGGAACUCCGAGUGUAGAGGUGAAAUUCGUAGAUAUUCGGAAGAACACCAGUGGCGAAGGCGACUCACUGGCCCAAUACUGACGCUGAGGCGCGAAAGCGUGGGGAGCAAACAGGAUUAGAAACCCCGGUAGUCC